CGAGAUCGCGCCACUGCACUCCAGCCUGGGCGACAGAGCGAGAGUCCGUCUCAAAAAUAAAUAAAUAAAUAAAUUAAUUAAAAAAUGAAACCUCACAACAUAUUGCUAUGUAUGUGUUUACACAUUUGUUCAAAUACGUUGCUUGUUGUUUGGUGCUUAGUGAUAAUAGUAUUUGCUUAAGUGCUCUAUGUGUUGCAAAAUGAGACAAAAUAUACGAAAAUCCCAUGGAUUAAAACUCCAAUUGAGUAACACAAAUUAGAAGAUACCAAGUUGUCUAUGUAAAGUAGUAACAUCAUUUGCCUUUUUACAUAGUCAGACUUUCUCUGGUAUAAGCAUCAAGCAACUCUAUGUUAGUUUUCACUGGCUAUCAUUACAUAUAUAAUAAAAGACAUCUUUUCUAUAUAGAUUAAAAUCAAAUCACUGAUGUAAUUAAACCUGAAGAUUCUUUCAAAAAUGCAGAUGGGCUGCACUUUUCGAUAGCAAUCUUGACCUUAUGUUAGUAACAUAUUCCACCUGCUAGGCUAAACAUUUUACCCAAUAGUAGGGCAAUUUAAGAAUUAAUUGAUUCAGGAAUCAAGAUUAGGCAAGUUGUUUAUUGUAAUGAAUCAAAGAGCAUCCUUUUACGCCUGUAAUCCCAGCACUUUGGGAGGCCGAAGCGGGUGGAUCACGUGAGGUCAGGAGUUCGAGACCAGCCUGACCAACAUACAUGGCGAAACCCCGUCUCUACUAAAAAAAAAAAAAAAAAAAAAGGCCAGGUAUAGUGGUGGACACCUGUAAUCCCAACUACUCGGGAGGCUGAGACAUAAGAAUCGCUUGAGCCCGGGAGGUGGAGGUUGCAGUGAGCCGAGAUCGCAUCAUUGCACUCCAGCCUAGCGACAGAGUGAGAUUCCGUCUCAAAAAAAAAAAAAAAAAAAAAAAAGCAUCCUUUUAGUGGCUCUGUCAGCACAUCAAUCACUAUUGCUUAGAAUUAUGGAGUUUGUAGCACUUCGUUUGAACAAAAGAAGAAAGAAUGAAUAAGUCUUGUCCUUUUAAUUCCAAUAAUACCUCUCUCCUCAUAAAAAUAAUCUUAUUUGUGUCUCUAGAAUGUCCUAGUAACUAGUGUAUUGCUAUGACACAAAGUGCUUGAGUUAGAGGCUAUUAUUGUAUGGGCUAUAGUUCAAAACCAUCGUUGUCAAGUGAUUCACACAGAGCUUGUCACAGUACUUAAGACAGCUUCCAUAAGUAGGCUGUUACCUUAGUUGGGCGAUAAAAAUGCAAAACAAAAAAACGAAAAACAAAACGUGGACAAUGCAGGAGAUACUGUGCACCUCUUACUAAUUUAGGCUAAUUUCCAUAUCCUCUGGGUGGCUUUGCCUGUUGUUUGGGAUUUUCGACUCUAGAUGGCGGUAAAGGGUGCACAAUCACGAGCUGAGGUCAGGUUGGUUUUGAGCCAGGGCUCUCUAAGGCUGAUUAGUGACAGCCUCAAUUUCAGGGCUGUUUUCAAUUUCAUGUGUUACAUAAAACAAAGGUUAAUUAGUCAUACUGCUCAUUUUGAGAAGUAGAAAUUUGCCUAUAAAUAGUAUGCUAUUCCGUGCACUAAGUCGUGUGAUGCCUGUUGCUUUUAGUGUUUGACAAAUUAAGGAAAUAUCUUGAAAUGCCUGGAUAAGGUGGACUUGGACAUAGAACCCAGGCAAGACUGCUUUUAUUGUUCCCAUGGCAACAUCUUCAAGCCUUUUAUGCUUAAUAUUUUCACUAAUGUCUGCUUUUUGGUAGACUCUGAAGAUAGUGAAGGUGUUGCUCAUAAAAUAGGAAGAUAGCUAGUAUUUUUCCUGAUUAUAUCUUUUGAUACACCCUCCAUCCAUAUGCACUGUCAAGACCUCUUUUCCUAGGCAAUAUCAUUUGAAAGCAGGAUGAUGCGAACUUAGCUUGAUUAUCUCUAACAUUUUCUAUCUUUUAUAUUUUUAUUUCCCAGUAUUAAAGUGGGAAUGGGAGCUUCUUUUUUCCCUUCAGAUUUAUGCACCAUCUGUAUUUUAAAAUAAUUAUGGCUGUCCCUAAAGUAGCAAGUGUUUCCUAGCUGCCCUGCUACAUCCUGUCUUCUAGCAGUUUAUGACUGCUAACGUUAAUCUUUUUCCUUGCCACCUCUCUCUCCUUUCCCUUUCUCCCUCCUUCCUUCGCUUCCUUUUCCCUUCUCUCCCUUCUUAGGUCUUUCUUUCCCUCUCUGCCUUCCUUCCUUCCCUUCUCUUUUUCUUUUUUCCUUCCUCUUUUUCUUCCUCUCUUCCUUUUUUCUUUUGGCCUUCCUAACCUCUCUGUGUCUCUUUCUUUUUCUUCUCUUUCUUUCAUCUCCUGCCCUCUCUCCCCUCCUUUCUUGCCUCCUUCCUUCUUUCCUUCUUUCUCACUUUCUUCCUUCACUCCUUUGUUCCAGUGUCUUGAAAAGAGUGUAGACUUGGAGAUUGGUCUUGAGCUGAAUUCUACUGAAGCCUCAUAUAUGUUGAGUAUCCUUGGAAAAGUAACCUAACUUCUUUAAAUAUUAUUUUUCUCUUCUAAAAAUGGGCUAAUAACACUUUCUCCAUAUUAUAGUUGAUGGGAGACAAAAGAGUUAAUGUGUGCUAAUCACCUGGCAGAUAGUAUCAUUAACACCUGAGGGAAGUUAAUUUAUCUUUACAGUAGGAGCUGAAUAAAUGGUAUAAAACAGUAUAAACUAUUUUAGUAUAGUUUUCUUUUCAUAGAACCUAUGUAUGCAAUUUAAAUGAAAUUUUACUUACAGUUCCUCAGUGAAAUGAAGUUAUUUCACUCUCAAAUUAAUUCCUGAAUAAUAGCACCUUGGGUCAGAAGUUUAUUGUACUCCGUUGCCACAGUGGUGGGGACAGGGCUGAAUUAGGCAUUAGGAGACCCACUUCUAGUUCUGCCAUGAACCAGCUCUCCCUUUAUUGAAUCUUUUCUUAAGGGGAGGACCUUCACUUUCCGAUGAGAUUUUAAAAGUUAAUUAUAUUAUCUAUCUUUCUUUACAGGACAACUUCUAGAAUUAUUGCUGCAAAGAUCCGGUUAUCCUCACAGGGAGUGAGUGAAAAAAAGUGGGAAGAAACUAACUUAAUUCUAAGAAAUGAGAGGAUUACAGAUCCCAGAAGAUAAUCAAGUGCUUCAAGACAGUUGAUUAAGCCAAAUUAUAUGUGGUAGAGAAAGAUUUGUGGAGCAGUUUCAGAAUAUAUACACAUGUCUGUCUGUUGAAUGUAUUCCUUCCUCUUACAGGAAGGAAUUCCUUCCAGGGUCAUUGUAUGUGAUAAAGAUCACUUGUAAAUGAAAACUUUGGAGGUUACAGAAGAAGUAAAUGUCAGAAAUGAAGGAAAAUAAUAGCAGGUAAAGGAAAGAAAGGGAGGAAUCGCAGAAAUGAGAAAAACUGAAAAGGGAAGAAAGCAGAGACCACUAAUUAGAAGUCGAGCAUCUUGGAGGAUGAAAUUAUGCCAUAAUUUUCUUCCCUUGGUCGUUUUUGAUGUCUUGAGGGGAUCCUAUCAGCAGGAGAUACAGAGAGACUCCUACUGACAUCAGCCUUCAUGCACACAUAUGAAAGGAGAAACCAUGUAGCUGAUCCAGCCUGGAGACCAUCGAUGACAGCCUGGAUGAUGGACACAGGUGAGGGGACUCCAUCAAAGAACAGACAAGACUUUGUUGUAGAAAAACAACAACAACAAAAAAAGAGGCUGACAUCCUAUAAUAAAUUUGUGUUUGGCAGAAUCCUAAGGUGGCCCCAAGAUUCCCACCUCUAGGUGUACAUAUUUUGUAUACUCGCUCACCCUCUGUCUUGAGUGUAGGCAGAACUUGUGAAUAUGAAGGAAUGUCACUCCGUGACAUCUUAGGUUAGAUGACAAAGGUUAUCCCCUCAGGGGAUCUUGAUUAUAGCUGCAAAAUCCCCUUUGUCAUCCCCUUUAAAUUAAUCAAAAGGGAAUAUGAGAGUGGUCUGCAGAUAACAAGUAGCAAGAAAAUGAAGACUUCGGUCCUGCAGCUGCAAGGAAACAAAUUCUGCCGACAAACGCGAGAAACUUUGCAGUGAAUCUUUUCCUGGUCAAGCAUCCAGGUUGAGAACUCAGCUCAGCCAAGACCUUGAUUUCAGACUUGUGAGAGCUUGCAUGGAGAACUCAGUGACUGUCUGUAGUUUAGGAGUUAAUUUUCUCACUCUGUGUAUUAACUGAGUCUGCUUGUAAUUUAUUGUUUCUGACUUUUUUAAAAAACUGUAAAUAUUCAUUGACUUUCUAACGGAUUGCCUUUGAUUGAUCGAUUGGUGAUGGAUGCUAAUGGAAUCUGUGACCCAUUCUUUACAAAUUACAGAUUUCAGAAAAGGAGAGAAGCCAAAAACGUUCACUUGAGAGUGUCAUUUGAAGAGGUAAGCCUCCUCAAUUGACAUAUGUGCCCAAACAUUUAGCUGCAUUAUUUUCUGAAGAGCCAGCAGACCAUUCUGGUGACACACUCUUUGCCUUAUUGUUUGCUACAUAAAAACCUGAAUGGAACUAAAUUAUAAACUAGGGCUAUAGAAUAAAUGCAGCAAUGAUGGCUUGAAUGGCUAAAACCUGAGAUGUCACUCUCAAUGAAAGGCAGUGUUUAUUCCACAGCUCAGAGUCACCAAUAGCAUGAGAUACUAAGAAAAUGAAAUAAACCCUAAGUUAGUAAAUUACAAGAAGUCAUUCUCAAAGUCCAUGUCUUGUCUGUCCUUUUGAUCAUAAGGUCAUUAUGAGAUACAAAUACUAACAUAUUUAAAAUUUAAUAAAAAAGAUUUUAAAAUGUAGUUCUCAAGAGUGGUCAGCAACCUUAAAAUUGGGGGCUGCAAACACAUUCCACUGGCAAAGGAUUAUGCAAGAUAAAUUGUUGAACUUUAAAAGACUAAUAAAUUAUAUUGCAGUUAAUUUUAUUAUCUUUUAAUCAACAAUGAAGUGGAUGCACUAUGUUUAAGUUUUUCAAGGAUUUUGAAUAGAAAAUUGUGUUUUCUGGUCAACUCCCAUCACCAAUAUUCUGGACACGAAAUUUGUUCCAUAUAAGAAAGUAGAAGAGAUGGUUCUGCUGUGCAGACACCUUAAAAAAUCCAGAAAUGUGGCAGAGGUGGUGGCCACCACUUGCUCCUCUUUUCUCGAUUUUCUGAGCUGGACUUUUAUUGAAGGAUAUAGGGAAAUUUGAAAAGAAAAUACUGCUUCUAAUCCUGCAGUCAUCUUCUGCUUUGGCUCUUGAGGGUUCGUUAUUCUGGAAGCUGGAAUGACAUUCAGUAGUGUACUCUGAAAAAUGGGAGGAGUUAAUGCGGUUUUUUAAGGUAUGAUUAUGGUCUCCACUUUCCUGUCUAAUUUUCUGUAGGGUAAUUCAACCUGUAUUUCCCCAUCUCUUAAUGAGAAUGAAUAGCUACACAGUCUGUUUCAGGGGCUUUAAUUGUUUCCUAGACAUUGCGGAUCUUUUCUAAUAGUGCUUGUGAUGCUUGAGACAAAGUCCCCAUUCUUGAAUGGUUUCUGCCAAUCCGACUUUGUGAAUAAACUCUAAUGACAAUAUUUUUGAGAAAACCAUCGUAAGAAUGCCAUCAAUGUCUUGGAAGUGAAUUAUAGGCUAUAGGAGAGCCCUGCGGGGAGGGAGGGAGCAGGGAGCCUGCAGCAGUACUGACCAAAUCUUUCAUGUUCCUAACUAUGAUGAAACAAAGUUGUUGCUUUUUUUUCAAAUUGCCCUAGUUAAAAGCAGUGAACAAACUACUCAAUCUUCACCCCAUGACAAUUUUCUUGUCUCUGUAUGGAACCAGCGUUCAUUUCCAUCAUCUGGCCUAAUAGUUUGAGGCAUUUUCCUUAGUAACAUGUCUAUUCUCUCCUUUAUCAUUUGCCUUAUGGUGACCAGAGCCUUCUAC
rnacentral:lncRNA from 10 species